rnacentral:rRNA from 1 species
CGUUGUUGUUCAAUUCAUGCAGUAAAGAUCCUGUAAUUCCUGAAAAUGAGACAGAUAAUAAAUUGCAUGAAGAUCCUUCCAAAAUGACUAUCCGUCUUGUGGAAUGUCACCUGCAUGCAGACUGGAAUGAAAUACAGAAAGUCGGUGGACCUCACCAGAAUCCGGAAUCUCCGGCCAAGCACAUGAAACGUAUUCAGGAAAUAACUUAUGAGCUGAAAGCCGGCAAGGGUUGGAGGCUUGCCGAAGGCAGUCAAAGCAAGUUCUACGUGCAGAAAAAUGGAGACUACUAUACUUAUGGGAAAUACACCCCGGCUCCCGUUUAUUUGAUGUUCAUCUAUUACUAUAACGCCAAAGGAGAUUUGAUGAACAGCCAGUUUAUAGAAAACGGGCAGGAUAAUAUUCAUCAACAUUUCUUCACGCCUGAAAAUGUAAAACCCACAUUUGACGGUCAGCCGGAAGCCGAUGACAAUGAACCGCAGAAAUUGGUGGAUUAUCUUUAUGUGGACACUACCCCCUGGGACAAGACCAAACAUAGCAAGGAAGCUGAAAUAACAGGAGACAGUAACCCGAUAGGUUUGAAAGGAGUUAUCUAUGAUACGCGGUAAGGUUAAGGACUUAAGGUCCGGAGCCGAAGCGAAAGCGAGUGUUAAGAGCACGAGGAAUCACGUAUCAUAGACCCGAAACCGGGUGAUCUAUCCAUGUCCAGGAUGAAGCUGCCGUAAGAGGUAGUGGAGGUCCGAACACACAUCCGUUGAAAAGGGUGGUGAUGAGGUGUGGAUAGGGGAGAAAUUCCAAUCGAACCCGGAGAUAGCUGGUUCUCCUCGAAAUAGCUUUAGGGCUAGCCUCUGGUUAGUCUGCCGCAGGUAGAGCACUGAAUUUCCUAGGGGGCGUCAAAGCCUACCGAAGAAUAUCAAACUGCGAAUGGCGGACAGAUGAUGCUGGGGAGUCAGACUGCACGAGAUAAGUUGGGUGGUCAAAAGGGAAAGAGCCCAGACCUACAGCUAAGGUCCCAAAGUGCGUGUUAAGUGGAAAAGGAUGUGGGAUUUCGAAGACAACUAGGAUGUUGGCUCAGAAGCAGCCACACAUUAAAAGAGUGCGUAAUAGCUCACUAGUCGAGAGGUCCUGCGCCGAAAAUGUCCGGGGCUAAAACACAACACCGAAGCUUAGGAAUUCUUUUGAAUUGGUAGAGGAGCAUUGAAGACGGAACGAAGCCAUACCGAAAGGAAUGGUGGACUGUCUUGAAGAGAGAAUGCCGGAAUGAGUAGCGAGAUUGAAGUGAGAAUCUUCAAGGCCGAAUAUCUAAGGUUUCCAGGGUAAAGCUGAUCUGCCCUGGGUAAGUCGGGGCCUAAGGCGAGGUCGAAAGACGUAGCCGAUGGACAACAGGUUGAAAUUCCUGUACUGCGAUAUAUCAGAAAUGUGGGGACACAGAAGGAAAGUGUGAGCCGGGAAAGGAAAGACCGGUGCAAGCACAGGAGGAGAGAUACAGGCAAAUCCGUAUUUCAAUCCAAUGGUGUUACGCGGAGCGAACAAAAGUAGCGAAGCACACAGACCAUCUGUCGAGAAAAGCCGCUAUUGUGUAUACCGUACCCGUACCGUAAACCGACACAGGUGGAUGAGGAGAGAAUCCUAAGGCCGGCGGGAGAAGCAUUGUUAAGGAACUCGGCAAAAUGACCCCGUAACUUCGGGAGAAGGGGUGCUCCAGAGAUGGAGCCGCAGAGAACUGGCCCAAGCAACUGUUUAGCAAAAACACAGGUCUAUGCAAAACCGAAAGGUGAGGUAUAUGGGCUGACGCCUGCCCGGUGCUGGAAGGUUAAGAGGAGAUGUUAGCCGCAAGGUGAAGCAUUGAAUUUAAGCCCCAGUAAACGGCGGCCGUAACUAUAACGGUCCUAAGGUAGCGAAAUUCCUUGUCGGGUAAGUUC